CCUACGGGAGGCAGCAGUGGGGAAUAUUGGACAAUGGGGGGAACCCUGAUCCAGCGACGCCGCGUGAGUGAAGAAGUAUUUCGGUAUGUAAAGCUCUAUCAGCAGGGAAGAAAGAAAUGACGGUACCUGACUAAGAAGCCCCGGCUAACUACGUGCCAGCAGCCGCGGGAAUACGUAGGGGGCAAGCGUUAUCCGGAUUUACUGGUUGUAAAGGGAGCGUAGACGGCGAUGCAAGUCUGAAGUGAAAGGCGGGGGCCCAACCCCCGGACUGCUUUGGAAACUGUAUGGCUGGAGUGCAGGAGAGGUAAGUGGAAUUCGUAGUGUAGCGGUGAAAUGCGUAGAUAUUAGGAGGAACACCAGUUGCGAAGGCGGCUUACUGGACUGUAACUGACGUUGAGGCUCGAAAGCGUGGGGAGCAAACAGGAUUAGAUACCCUGGUAGUC
rnacentral:rRNA from 1 species